AUUGAACGCUGGCGGCAUGCCUUACACAUGCAAGUCGAACGGCAGCACGGGUGCUUGCACCUGGUGGCGAGUGGCGAACGGGUGAGUAAUACAUCGGAACGUACCUUAUCGUGGGGGAUAACGCAGCGAAAGUUGCGCUAAUACCGCAUACGCACUGAGGGGGAAAGCGGGGGACCGUAAGGCCUCGCGCGAUUAGAGCGGCCGAUGUCUGAUUAGCUUGUUGGUGAGGUAAAAGCUCACCAAGGCGAUGAUCAGUAGCUGGUCGGAGAGGACGAUCAGCCACACUGGGACUGAGACACGGCCCAGACUCCUACGGGAGGCAGCAGUGGGGAAUUUUGGACAAUGGGGGCAACCCUGAUCCAGCAAUGCCGCGUGAGUGAAGAAGGCCUUCGGGUUGUAAAGCUCUUUUGUCAGGGAAGAAACAGCAGCUCUAACACAGUCUGCGAAUGACGGUACCUGAAGAAUAAGCACCGGCUAACUACGUGCCAGCCGCCGCCGUAA
rnacentral:rRNA from 1 species